rnacentral:rRNA from 1 species
UAGGGAAUCUUCGGCAAUGGACGCAAGUCUGACCGAGCAACGCCGCGUGAGUGAUGAAGGUUUUCGGAUCGUAAAACUCUGUUGCCAGGGAAGAACGAUCGGGAGAGUAACUGUUCCCGAUGUGACGGUACCUGAGAAGAAAGCCCCGGCUAACUACGUGCCAGCAGCCGCGGUAAUACGUAGGGGGCAAGCGUUGUCCGGAAUUAUUGGGCGUAAAGCGCGCGCAGGCGGUUGCUUAAGUCUGGUGUAUAAACCAAGGGCUCAACCUUUGGACGCAUUGGAAACUGGGCAACUGGAGUGUAGGAGAGGAAAGUGGAAUUCCACGUGUAGCGGUGAAAUGCGUAGAGAUGUGGAGGAACACCAGUGGCGAAGGCGACUUUCUGGCCUAUAACUGACGCUGAGGCGCGAAAGCGUGGGGAGCAAACA